GAGUUUGAUCAUGGCUCAGGAUGAACGCUAGCGGCAGGCUUAACACAUGCAAGUCGAGGGGUAGUAUAGCAAUAUAUGAGACCGGCGCACGGGUGCGUAACGCGUAUGCAAUCUACCUUUUACAGGGGAAUAGCCCAGAGAAAUUUGGAUUAAUGCCCCAUGGUAUAAUUGAUUGGCAUCAAUUAAUUAUUAAAGUUCCAACGGUAAAAGAUGAGCAUGCGUCCCAUUAGCUAGUUGGUAUGGUAACGGCAUACCAAGGCGAUGAUGGGUAGGGGUCCUGAGAAGGAGAUCCCCCACACUGGUACUGAGACACGGACCAGACUCCUACGGGAGGCAGCAGUGAGGAAUAUUGGACAAUGGGCGCAAGCCUGAUCCAGCCAUGCCGCGUGCAGGAAGAAGCAUCUAUGGUGUGUAAACUGCUUUUAUACAGGAAGAAACACUCCCUCGUGAGGGAGCUUGACGGUACUGUAAGAAUAAGGACCGGCUAACUCCGUGCCAGCAGCCGCGGUAAUACGGAGGGUCCAAGCGUUAUCCGGAAUCAUUGGGUUUAAAGGGUCCGUAGGCGGUUUAAUAAGUCAGUGGUGAAAGCCCAUCGCUCAACGAUGGAACGGCCAUUGAUACUGUUAGACUUGAAUUAUUA
rnacentral:rRNA from 1 species